rnacentral:misc_RNA from 1 species
UCCGGUUUAGACCGGCGGUCUCCCUAGAGAUUUCAACUAAGGACAAGGGUUGCGCUCGUUAUAGGACUUAACCUGGCACCUCACGGCACGAGCUGACGACAACCAUGCAGCACCUUGUAAAUUGUCCGAAGAAAAAACUGUUUCCAGUCCUGUCAAUCUACAUUUAAGCCUUGGUAAGGUUCCUCGCGUAUCAUCGAAUUAAACCACAUGCUCCACCGCUUGUGCGGGCCCCCGUCAAUUCCUUUGAGUUUCAUUCUUGCGAACGUACUCCCCAGGUGGGAUACUUAUCACUUUCGCUUAGCCACUGAGGUAAACCCCAACAGCUAGUAUCCAUCGUUUACGGCGUGGACUAC